rnacentral:rRNA from 1 species
CACGUAGGGUGCAAGCGUUGUCCGGAAUCAUUGGGCGUAAAGAGCUCGUAGGCGGCUUAGUAAGUCGGGUGUGAAACCUCCAGGCUCAACCUGGAGACGCCACCCGAUACUGCUAUAGCUAGAGUCCAGUAGGGGAGUGCGGAAUUUCCGGUGUAGCGGUGAAAUGCGCAGAUAUCGGAAGGAACACCAGCGGCGAAGGCGGCACUCUGGGCUGGUACUGACGCUCAGGAGCGAAAGCGUGGGUAGCGAACAGG